rnacentral:rRNA from 1 species
GAUGAACGCUAGCGGCAGGCUUAAUACAUGCAAGUCGAGGGGCAUCAAGGUACACGAAAGUGUAUUGUUGGCGACCGGCGGACGGGUGAGUAAUAGGUAGGUAACCUACCUCAUACUGAGGCAUAGCUGGGAGAAAUUCCAGGUAAUUCCUCAUGAGGUUAUAUGACACAUGUGAUAUAAUCAAAGGUAUCGCAAGGUACUGGUAUGAGAUGGGCUUACUGACCAUUAGCUAGUUGGUGAGAUAAGAGCUCACCAAGGCGAAGAUGGUUAGGGGUUUUGAGAGAGAGAUCCCCCACAUUGGAACUGAGAUACGGUCCAGACUCCUACGGGAGGCAGCAGUAGGGAAUAGUUGGGCAAUGGGCGGAAGCCUGACCCAGCCAUGCCGCGUGAAGGAAGACGGCCUUAGUGGGUUGUAAACUUUCUUUACUAUGCGACUAACUAGAUUUACGAGAUAAUUCUAUAGAAUGUAGCAUAGACAAAAAGCACCGGUA